AUCAAACUCUGAUUAUAUAGAUAUCUGAGCGUACUUUUAAAUAAGUCAAAACUUUCAACAACGGAUCUCUUGGUUCUGGCAUCGAUGAAGAACGCAGCGAAAUGCGAUAAGUAAUGUGAAUUGCAGAAUUCAGUGAAUCAUCGAAUCUUUGAACGCACAUUGCGCCCAUUAGUACUCUAGUGGGCAUGCCUGUUCGAGCGUCAUUACGACCCUUAAGCCUAGCUUAGUAUUGGGAACCUACGUGCGGCAGCUACCCUGUAGCUACCCUGUAGCUCCUUAAAGACAACGGCGGAGACGUGGAGUCCUCUGAGCUUAGUAAACUUUUUCUAGCUUCUGAAGGCGCCGCGGCCCCUGCCGUAAAACCCCCCAACUCUUUAGUGGUUGACCUCGGAUCAGGUAGGAAUACCCGCUGAACUUAAGCAUAUCAAUAAGCGGAGGAAAAGAAACCAACAGGGAUUGCCUUAGUAACGGCGAGUGAAGCGGCAACAGCUCAAAUUUGAAAGCUGGCCUUCGGGUCCGCGUUGUAAUUUGUAGAGGAUGCUUUUGGUUAGGUGCCUUACGAGUUCCCUGGAACGGGACGCCUUAGAGGGUGAGAGCCCCGUACGUUUGGUUACCGAGCCUCUGUAAAGCUCCUUCGACGAGUCGAGUAGUUUGGGAAUGCUGCUCUAAAUGGGAGGUAAAUUUCUUCUAAAGCUAAAUACCGGCCAGAGACCGAUAGCGCACAAGUAGAGUGAUCGAAAGAUGAAAAGCACUUUGAAAAGAGGGUUAAAUAGCACGUGAAAUUGUUGAAAGGGAAGCGUUUAUGACCAGACUUUUUCCUGGCGGAUCAUCCGGUGUUCUCACCGGUG
rnacentral:rRNA from 1 species